rnacentral:lncRNA from 1 species
ACAAAUGCACUUGUCAUUAACAGGAGUGGGCACGAACCAGAUAUCCAUGUUUUUAGAGGAUUCGUGAUCCAAUCCGUUUCAUCUGGAUAAUCAGUUAUCUGAUCCGAUUUGAUCCGUACCAUCUGAAUAUUCAGGGUCUCAGAUAUUCGGAAAUAUUAGAUUUUCAACCGAAUUUCCGAUUCGAUCUGUAAAAUAAAAAACUAUAAAAAAAAAUAAAAAAUUACAAAAUAAUAAUAUUUUAUUACAAAAAUUUAUAUUUUAGUGUUUAAUAUACAAAAAAAAAACUAAACACAUAUAUGUCAAAGUGCUUUUUUUUAAGUUAAGAUUUCAAAAUCUAACUCUAAAAAUACCAACAAUACUAUAACAUAUGUUAUCAAACCCUAAACUAAAGACUAUCAUGACUCAAUCUACAUUCACUCAUAC